CCUACGGGUGGCUGCAGUGAGGAAUAUUGGUCAAUGGACGCAAGUCUGAACCAGCCAUGCCGCGUGCAGGAUGACGGUUCCAUGAGUUGUAAACUUCUUUUGUACGACGGCAAUAUCAGACACGAGUACCUGCUCGAGAGUACUUUACGAAUAAGGAUCGGCUAACUCCGUGCCAGCAGCCGCGGUAAUACGGAGGAUCCAAGCGUUAUCCGGAUUUAUUGGGUUUAAAGGGUGCGUAGGCGGUAUUUUAAGUUAGCGGUGAAAAUUCGGGGCUCAACCCCGGCCGAGCCUUUAAUACUGGAUGACUAGAGAAGAGGUGCGGUAGGCGGAAUGUGUAGUGUAGCGGUGAAAUGCGUAGAGAUCAUACAGAACACCGAUUGCGAAGGCAGCUUACCGACCGAUAUCUGACGUUGAGGCACGAAAGCGUGGGGAGCGAACAGGAUUAGAUACCCUGGUAGUC
rnacentral:rRNA from 1 species